UUUUUUUUUAUCAAAACAAUUGCUUUCAGAUAAUCUUUAUUUCAACAUUUUAUUUAUUUCGUGGUUCACUACAUACCGAAAGAAGAUUGAAAACAUCAUCUGAGAACAUCUGUGGUGCCGGCUAUUCGAAGAGAUGGAAAUAAAAGACGGUUUACUGUGUGGAAUCUGUUAACACGACUUUGAGAAGCCAUCUGUGAUUGAACAACGUGUGUAUACCUCCAAGUUGUUUCAUCUUUUUUCCAGUUUGACGAUGAUGAUUGUGUGGUUCUCGAUGGUGAUCAAUAAAAUCAAGUUAAAUGUGUGAAUAAUUUUCCAUCUAAGUCUGAUGAGUUGUGUGUAGAUGGUGAUAAAGGAAAGGUAUUUUCUAUAAUUUCAUUCUCUUGCUAUUUAAGAAAAAAUGUUUAUAAUUUUUUUAGUUGAUCGGAUAAACAAUUGGAUGAUAAUAAGUUGAUGUUGAAUUUCUGGAUUAUGAUAAGAGUUUUUUCAUGGUAAAAUCGAUUUUUAUAACUCUAUGCAGAAAAACAUUUUGAAUUCUACUUCUCUUCAUUCAAAUAUGAAUCCUUUAGGCAUUUUAUUUUGUUGUUAGGUAAGUUGUAACGAGCCUUUUAGCUAUCUGGCAUGAGUAAUUGAUAUUUUUAUACUUAAGAUUGUUAUACUGCUUUCGAUUUCCAGCAUGGCCAAGGAAAGGUAACAAGGUUCUGCCUCAUUUUUUAUGUUAUGAAUUCUGAUGCUUUUAUCCAUGGCCUUCAAUCUAGAUGUAGCACAACCAAAAGCUGGAUAUUUAAUAUGAAAAUAAUGUGCAGUCUUGGCUAAAAAAAAAAGGUAUAUUCUAGAUUUGAUUUCUGAUUAGGGAUUGAAUAUGCAGUCAUGGUUUCAAGACAACAUUGAUAUUAUUAUUAUUGUAGAUGAAGUAUUUUGGUAUGAUUGAGGUUAUUAUUUUGCAGAAACCCGUUGACAGUUAUGACAUAGGCUUUGAGGUGCUUAGAUUUGAUUGAAGUUAUUAUUUUUCAGUUGUAAAAGUCAUGAACAAAAAUCAAUACCUUAAUCUAUUUUUAUGGAGGAUGUUUUCUCGCUGAUUCCGAUGGCUGUGCUCUGUAACCUCGCUGCAAUUGAAACAAGAAGCGCACAAAUUCUGCUCACAAGGUUUUGUUCUUGGGUUUUCCAAUUUGAGGUUUCCCCUUUUCUGCAGAAACCAUAUAUAAGGAAACAAUCCUCUCAAUUUAUUCUUCAAUUUCGACCUCUAAUCCUUCCCGAUAAGGAAACAAUAAUACACCCGCAAUUGGAAUCGUUUCUGCACAACAUGCCAUAGAUAAUUUCCUCAUCUACCAGCACGACAUCAGCAUAUUUAAGUUGAACUAAAAGGAUGUGUAUUGGCAGUCAAGUGCUUCACCUCAAGGUAUAUGUUCUUAACAAAACUUCUAGGACUUUUCUUUUAGUUUUUUUUUUUUUAAUUUGGAUUAACAAAUUUGGAUGUUUAUGUGCAGAAGCUUUUUCAACAUAUUUACUUAGAUUUCAAUGUUGAAUUUUAUAUUAAGAGAAAAUCUUACUUUCUUUGGUUGUAUUUUAACUAAAUAUUGAGCUCCCUAUAAUUUUUCUAUCUUAUUGUGUGGAUUUUCAAAUGUUUGUGUGAUUGAUACUGAUGGUAGAAGUUUUCCAUAUUUGUGUGCUUGAGACUCAUUGUUAAAUUACUCUGAAAAAUUUAAACGAAAAAUAUGUUUUUAUCUAAAUGUGAAAUAAAAUUUACAAUGUAAAGUUGUUGGAAAAAGCAAUGAAUCAAAUAGAGCAAAGUUAGUAUCCAAAAACGAUUUGAAACUCUUCUUUUGUAUUAUUUAUUUUAAGCAACUUUUAGAGCUUAUAUUUGAUUAGUUAUGUGCUCUCAAUACUGUUAUCAUUUGGUUAUCGAUGAUGAUUGUCUUCUGCAUUUGUGUAUCUUUCUCAAGAGAUCAUUUAAAUUUUAAGUUUGAAUUGCUAAUUUGUUUCUGUGUGUGUAAUUUAAAGUACAAUGUUUGUGAGUUGGAUUGCUAACUAUAAUUUUAUUCAUCUUAGUAAAUGUAACUUGAGAAAGGUAUGAUGCUCCUUAAGACUCACACUGCUUGGUGUUUUAAGAGCUUAUAUAGAAAAAAGGUGUCGUUGAAGAGCUUAGAAAUGAAUGCAACUGAUAUAAGUUUCAAACACAUAUACAUGUAUUCUGAUACUAACCUUUUGUAAUUGAUUUUUCCCUUUUUAAAUUUGAUUGAGAUUUUAUUUUUGAGUAGGAAGAGCUGAAUAAUGUCUGCACAUUUCAUGAUUCCUAGCUAAAAGGUUCAUUUGAUGAUCUCUUCACUAAUCCUUUAUUGUUUACUCAGUUUAUUAUGUUUUACUAUGUCUUUGUUCUACUAUCCUUUAUUAUGUUGUAAAACAUAUCAAAUUGAUGAUGGUGUUGAGUUCGACCAAUAUA